AUUGAACGCUGGCGGCAGGCUUAACACAUGCAAGUCGAACGGUAACAUAAAGAAGCUUGCUUCUUUGAUGACGAGUGGCGGACGGGUGAGUAAUGCUUGGGAAUCUAGCUUAUGGAGGGGGAUAACUACGGGAAACUGUAGCUAAUACCGCGUAGAAUCGAGAGAUGAAAGUGUGGGACCUUCGGGCCACAUGCCAUAGGAUGAGCCCAAGUGGGAUUAGGUAGUUGGUGAGGUAAAGGCUCACCAAGCCGACGAUCUCUAGCUGGUCUGAGAGGAUGACCAGCCACACUGGGACUGAGACACGGCCCAGACUCCUACGGGAGGCAGCAGUGGGGAAUAUUGCGCAAUGGGGGCAACCCUGACGCAGCCAUGCCGCGUGAAUGAAGAAGGCCUUCGGGUUGUAAAGUUCUUUCGGUAGCGAGGAAGGCAUUUAGUUUAAUAAACUAGGUGAUUGACGUUAACUACAGAAGAAGCACCGGCUAACUCCGUGCCAGCAGCCGCGGUAAUACGGAGGGUGCGAGCGUUAAUCGGAAUAACUGGGCGUAAAGGGCACGCAGGCGGUGACUUAAGUGAGGUGUGAAAGCCCCGGGCUUAACCUGGGAAUUGCAUUUCAUACUGGGUCGCUAGAGUACUUUAGGGAGGGGUAGAAUUCCACGCGUAGCGGUGAAAUGCGUAGAGAUGUGGAGGAAUACCGAAGGCGAAGGCAGCCCCUUGGGAAUGUACUGACGCUCAUGUGCGGAAGCGUGGGGAGCAAACAGG
rnacentral:rRNA from 1 species